GGGUUGGUGAGGGCAAUCUAGUCAACAUCCGUCACUCCAUUGCUUGUUAGGAUUAUUUUAGCCGAUUUGUCUGACUGGGCAGGUGUCCCCUCUCUCCCUCAGUGCUCCAUGUGCAUCCCUCUUGAAGCUUCGCACUCUGUUGAAGAGGACACUCAUCCCAGGUAGAGAGGGGGACGGGAAACUGGGCCAA
rfam:Papio anubis isolate 1X1155 chromosome 6, whole genome shotgun sequence.